ACGUAGGGGGCAAGCGUUGUCCGGAAUCAUUGGGCGUAAAGAGCUCGUAGGCGGCUCAGUAAGUCGCUGUGAAAUGCCGAGGCUCAACCUCGGAACCGCAGUCGAUACUGCUGUGGCUAGAGUCCGGUAGAGGCAAGUGGAAUUCCGGGUGUAGUGGUGAAAUGCGUAGAGAUCCGGAGGAACCCCGGUGGCGAAGGCGACUUGCUGGGCCUGAACUGACGCUCAGACGCGAAAGCAUGGGGAGCGAACGG
rnacentral:rRNA from 1 species